rnacentral:tRNA from 1 species
UGGUGGUUCAGUGGUAGAAUUCUCGCCUUCCGUGUGGUAGACCUGGGUUCGAUUCCCAGCCA